rnacentral:rRNA from 1 species
UCCGGUGCCCAUAGACUAUUGGUCACACCCGAUUCCAUUCCGAACUCGGUCGUUAAGAAGUAGUCGCCGAUGAUAGUGCAUUGCGUGAAAGUAGGUUAGUGCCGGAC